AAGGUGUUAGCUGAGCGGUUUAGCGUAAUAUUUACACUAUUGAGACAGGAGUUCGAAUCUCCUACACCUUA